rnacentral:rRNA from 1 species
GGAGGAAAGUAGGGGAUCGCAAGACCUCGCGCUAUUGGAGCGGCCGAUGUCGGAUUAGCUAGUUGGUGAGGUAAAGGCUCACCAAGGCUACGAUCCGUAGCUGGUCUGAGAGGACGACCAGCCACACUGGGACUGAGACACGGCCCAGACUCCUACGGGAGGCAGCAGUGGGGAAUUUUGGACAAUGGGCGAAAGCCUGAUCCAGCCAUGCCGCGUGUGUGAAGAAGGCCUUCGGGUUGUAAAGCACUUUUGUCCGGAACGAAACGGCGAAGGCGAAUAACUUUCGUUAAUGACGGUACCGGAAGAAUAAGCACCGGCUAACUACGUGCCAGCAGCCGCGGUAAUACGUAGGGUGCAAGCGUUAAUCGGAAUUACUGGGCGUAAAGCGUGCGCAGGCGGUUUCGCAAGUCAGAUGUGAAAUCCCCGGGCUCAACCUGGGAACUGCGUUUGAAACUACAAGGCUAG